ensembl:lncRNA
GUGGGAUGGAUGAGAUCAUUGGGAUGGAUGGGAUCAUUGGCGGGAUCAGUGUGGUCACCGAGGUGGUGGUUAUGGGAUGGAUGGGAUCAUUGGGAUGGAUGGGAUCAUUGGUGGGAUGGGUGGGAUCACUGGUGGCAUCAGUGGGGUCACCGAGGUGGUGGUGCUGGGAUGGAUGGGAUCAUUGAAUGAUGGGUGGGGUCGCUGGGAUGGAUGGCAUCAUUGGAUGUUGGGUGGGAUCGCUGGGAUGGAUGGGAUCACCGAAUGGUGGGUGGGAUCGCUGGGAUCACUGGAUGGGUGGGGUCACUGAAUGAUGGGUGGGGUCACUGGGAUUGGUGGGGUCACUGAAUGAUGGGUGGGGUCACGGGGAUGGAUGGCAUCAUUGGAUGAUGGAUGGGAUCAUUGGCAUGGAUGGGAUCACUGAAUGCUGGGUGGGAUCACUGGGAUGCAUGGGAUCAUUAGUGGGAUGGGCGGGAUCACCGGUGGUAUCAGUGGGGUCACCGAGGUGGUGGUGCUGGGAUGGAUGGCAUCAUCGGAUGAUGGGGGGGAUCACAGGGAAGGAUGGGAUCAUUGGGAUGGAUGGGAUCACCGAAUGGUUGGUGGGAUCACUGGGAUCACUGGGAUGGGUGGGAUCACUGAACGAUGGGUGGGGUCACUGGGAUGGAUGGCAUCAUUGGGAUGGAUGGGAUCACUGGGAUGGAUGGGAUCGUUGGUGGGAUGGACUGGAUCACUGGUGGCAUCAGUGGGGUCACCGAGGUGGUGGUGCUGGGAUGGAUGGGAUCACUGGGAUGGAUGGGAGCACCGAAUGGUGGGUGGGAUUGCUGGGAUCACUGGGAUGGGUGGGGUCACUGAACGAUGGGUGGGGUCACUGGGAUGGAUGGGAUCAUUGGAUGAUGGGUGGGAUUGCUGGAUGAUUCGGAUCAUUGGUGUGAUGGGUGGGCUCGCUGGUGGCAUCAGUGGGGUCACUGAGGUGGUGGUUCUGGGAUGGAUGGGAUCAUUGAAUGAUGGGUGGGGUCGCUGGGAUGGAUGGCAUCAUUGGAUGUUGGGUGGGAUCGCUGGGAUGGAUGGGAUCACCGAAUGGUGGGUGGGAUCGCUGGGAUCACUGGGAUGGGUGGGGUCACUGAAUGAUGGGUGGGGUCACUGGGAUGGAUGGCAUCAUUGGAUGAUGGGGGGGAAGACUGGGAUGAUUGGGAUCACUGGGAUGGAUGGGAUCAUUGAAUGAUGGAUGGGAUUACUGGGAUGGAGGGGAUCAUUGGUGGGAUGGGCGGGAUCACUGGUGGCAUCAGUGGGGUCACCGAGGUGGUGGUGCUGGGAUGGAUGGGAUCAUUGAAUGAUGGGUGGGGUCACUGGGAUGGAUGGGAUCACUGGGAUGGAUGGGAUCACCGAAUGGUGGGUGGGGUCACUGGAAUGGAUGGCAUCAUUGGAUGAUGGGGGGGAUCACAGGGAUGGAUGGGAUCAUUGGAUGAUGGAUGGGAUCACUGGGAAGGAUGGGAUCAUUGGUGGGAUGGGCGGGAUCACUGGUGGCAUCAGUGGGGUCACUGACGUGGUGGUGCUGGGAUGGAUGGGAUCACCGAAUGAUGGGUGGGAUCUCUGGGAUGGAUGGGAUCACUGGGAUGGAUGGGAUCACUGGGAUGGAUGGCAUCAUUGGAUAAUGGAUGGGAUCAUUGGGAUGGAUGGGAUCACUGGAAUGGAUGGGAUCACCGAAUGGUGAGUGGGAUCAGUGGGAUGGAUGAGAUCAUUGGGAUGGAUGGGAUCAUUGGCGGGAUCAGUGUGGUCACCGAGGUGGUGGUUAUGGGAUGGAUGGGAUCAUUGGGAUGGAUGGGAUCAUUGGUGGGAUGGGUGGGAUCACUGGUGGCAUCAGUGGGGUCACCGAGGUGGUGGUUCUGGGGUGGAUGGGAUCACUGAAUGAUGGGUGGGAUCACUGGGAUGGAUGGGGUCACCGAAUGGUGGGUGGGAUCACUGGGAUCUCUGGGAUGGGUGGGAUCACUGUAUGAUGCGUGGGGUCACUGGGAUGGAUGGCAUCAUUGGAUGAUGGAUGGGAUCACUGGGAUGGAGGGGAUCAUUGGUGGGAUGGAUGGGAUCAUUGGAUGAUGGGUGGGGUCACUGGGAUGGAUGGCACCAUUGGAUGACGGAUGGGAUCAUUGGGAUGGAUGGGAUCACCGAAUGGUGGGUGGGAUCGCUGGGAUCACUGGGAUGGGUGGGAUCACUGUAUGAUGGGUGGGGUCACUGGGAUGGAUGGCAUCAUUGGAUGAUGGGGGGGAUCACAGGGAAGGAUGCGAUCAUUGAAUGAUGGAUGGGAUCGGGGGAAGGAUGGGAUCACUGGGAUGGGUGGGAUCAGCGGUGGGAUGGGCGGGAUCACUGGUGGCAUCAGUGGGAUCACCGAGAUGGUGGUGCGGGGAUGGAUGGGAUCACCGAAUGGUGGGUGGGAUCGCUGGGAUCACUGGGUGGGUGGGAUCACUGAAUGAUGGGUGGGGUCAGUGGGAUGGAUGGCAUCAUUGGAUGAUGGAUGGGAUCACUGGGAUGGAUGCGAUCAUUGAAUGAUGGAUGGGAUCGGGGGAAGGAUGGGAUCACUGGGAUGGGUGGGAUCACUGGUGGCAUGAGUGGGGUCACCGAGGUGGUGGUGCUGGGAUAGAUGGGAUCAUUGGAUGAUGGGUGGGGUCACUGGGAUGGAUGGCACCAUUGGAUGACGGAUGGGAUCACUGGGAUGGAUGGGAGCACCGAAUGGUGGGUGGGAUCGCUGGGAUCACUGGGAUGGGUGGGGUCACUGAAUGAUGGGUGGGGUCAGUGGGAUGGAUGGCAUCAUUGGAUGAUGGAUGGGAUCACUGGGAUGGAUGGGAUCAUUGGGAUGGAUGGGAUCAUUGGUGGGAUGGGCGGGAUCACUGGUGGCAUCAGUGGGGUCACCGAGGUGGUGGUGCUGGGAUGGAUGGGAUCAUUGGCAUGGAUGGGAUCACUGAAUGGUGGGUGGGGUCACUGGGAUGGAUGGCAUCAUUGGAUGAUGGAUGGGAUCACUGGGAUGGAUGGGUCACUGGGAUGGAUGUGAUAACUGAAUGCUGGGUGGGAUCACUGGGAUGGAUGGGAUCAUUAGUGGGAUGGGCGGGAUCACCGGUGGUAUCAGUGGGGUCACCGAGGUGGUGGUGCUGGGAUGGAUGGGAUCAUUGAAUGAUGGAUGGGAUCGGGGGAUGGAUGGGAUCACUGGGAUGGGUGGGACCACUUUAUGAUGGGUGGGGUCACUGGGAUGGAUGGCACCAUUGGAUGAUGGAUGGGAUCACUGGGAUGGAUGGGAUCACUGGGAUGGAUGGGAUCACCGAAUGGUUGGUGGGAUCACUGGGAUCACUGGGAUGGGUGGGAACACUGAACGAUGGGUGGGGUCACUGGGAUGGAUGGGAUCAUUGAAUGAUGGGGGGGAUCGCUGGGAUGGAUGGGAUCAUUGGUGGGAUGGAUGGGAUCACUGGGAUGGAUGGGAUCAUUGGUGGGAUGGACUGGAUCACUGGUGGCAUCAGUGGGGUCACCGAGGUGGUGGUGCUGGGAUGGAUGGGAUCAUUGGAUGAUGGGUGGGAUCGCUGGGAUGGAUGGGAUCAUUGGGAUGGAUGGGAUCACCGAAUGGUGGGUGGGGUCACUGGGAUCAUUGGGAGGGAUGGGUUGGAGCACUGAACGAUGGGUGGGGUCACUGGGAUGGAUGGCAUCAUUGGAUGAUGGAUGGGAUCACUGGGAUGGAUGGGAUCAUUGAAUGAUGGGGGGGAUCGCUGGGAUGGAUGGGAUCACUGAAUGGUGGGUGGGGUCAUGGGGAUGGAUGGGAUCAUAGGAUGAGAGGUGGGAUCGCUGGGAUGGAUGGGGUCACUGGGAUGGAUGGGAUCACCAAAUGGUGGGUGGGGUCACUGGGAUGGAUGGCAUCAUUGGAUGAUGGAUGGGAUCACUGGGAUGGAUGGGAUCACUGGGAUGGAUGGGAUCACUGAAUGGUGGGUGGGACUGCUGGGAUCACUGGGAUGGGUGGGAUCACUGUAUGAUGCGUGGGGUCACUGGGAUGGAUGGCAUCAUUGGAUGAUGGAUGGGAUCACUGGGAUGGAAGGGAUCAUUGAAUGAUGGGGGGAAUGACUGGGAUUAGUGUUGGGAUGGGUGGGAUCACUGGUGGCAUCAGUGGGGUCACUGAGGUGGUGGUUCUGGGAUGGAUGGGAUCAUUGAAUGAUGGGUGGGAUCGCUGGGAUGGAUGGGAUCACCGGGAUGGAUGGGAUCACCGAAUGGUGGGUGGGAUCGCUGGGACAGAGGCGAUCAUUGAAUGAUGGGUGGGAUUGCGGGGAUGGAUGGGAUCAUUGUAAUGGAUGGGAUCGUUGGGAUGGAUGGGAUCACGGAAUGGUUGGUGGGAUCGCUGGGAUCAUUGGGAUGGGUGGGAUCACUGAACGAUGGGUGGGGUCACUGGGAUGGAUGGCAUCAUUGGGAUGGAUGGGAUCACCGAACGGUUGGUGGGAUCGCUGGGAUCACUGGGAUGGGUGGGAUCACUGAACGAUGGGUGGGGUCACUGGGAUGGAUGGGAUCAUUGGUUGAUGGGUGGGAACGCUUGGAUGGUUGGGAUCAUUGGUGUGAUGGGUGGGCUCGCUGGUGGCAUCAGUGGGGUCACUGAGGUGGUGGUGCUGAGAUGGAUGGGAUCAUUGAAUGAUAGGUGGGUCACUGGGAUGGAUGGGAUCACCGAAUGGUGGGUGGGAUUGCUGGGAUCACUGGGAUGGGUGGGAUCACUGGGAUGGGUGGGAUCAUUGGGAUGGAUUGGAACAUUGAAUGGUGGGUGGGACUGCUGGGAUCACUGGGAUGGGUGGGGUCACUGAACGAUGGGUGGGGUCACUGGAAUGGACAGCAUCAUUGGAUGAUGGGUGGGAUCGCUGGGAUGGAUGGGAUCACCGAAUGGUGGGUGGGAUCGCUGGGACGGAGGCGAUCAUUGAAUGAUGGGUGGGAUCACUGGGAUGGAUGGGAUCAUUCUAAUGGAUGGGAUCGUUGGGAUGGAUGGGAUCACGGAAUGGUUUGUGGGAUCGCUGGGAUCACUGGGAUGGGUGGGGUCACUGAACGAUGGGUGGGGUCACUGGGAUGGACGGCAUCAUUGGAUGAUGGGUGGGAUCGCUGGGAUCGAUGGCGCCACGGGGAUGGAUGGGAUCACUGGAUGAUGGAUGGGAUCACUGGGAUGGAGGGGAUCAUUGGAUGGUGGAUGGGAUCACUGGGAUGGAGGGGAUCAUUGGUGGGAUGGGUGGGAUCGCGGGGAUGGAUGGGAUCACCGAAUGGUGGGUGGGAUCGCUGGGAUCACUGGGAUGGGUGGGAUCACUGAACGAUGGGUGGGGUCACUGGGAUGGAUGGGAUCAUUGGUUGAUGGGUGGGAUCGCUUGGAUGGUUGGGAUCAUUGGUGUGAUGGGUGGGCUCGCUGGUGGCAUCAGUGGGGUCACUGAGGUGGUGGUGCUGAGAUGGAUGGGAUCAUUGAAUGAUAGGUGGGUCACUGGGAUGGAUGGGAUCACCGAAUGGUGGGUGGGAUUGCUGGGAUCACUGGGAUGGAUGGCAUCAUUGGGAUGGAUGGGAUCACCGAAUGGUGGGUGGGAUCGCUGGGAUCACUGGGAUGGAUGGGAUCACUGAAUGAUGGGUGGGGUCACUGGGAUGGAUGGCAUCAAUGGAUGAUGGGGGGGAUCACAGGGAUGGAUGGGAUCAUUGGAUGAUGGGGGGGAUCACAGGGAUGGAUGGGAUCAUUGGAUGAUGGAUGGGAUCACUGGGAAGGAUGGGAUCAUUGGUGGGAUGGGCGGGAUCACUGGUGGCAUCAGUGGGGUCACUGACGUGGUGGUGCUGGGAUGGAUGGGAUCACCGAAUGAUGGGUGGGAUCUCUGGGAUGGAUGGGAUCACUGGGAUGGAUGGGAUCACUGGGAUGGAUGGCAUCAUUGGAUAAUGGAUGGGAUCAUUGGGAUGGAUGGGAUCACUGGAAUGGAUGGGAUCACCGAAUGGUGAGUGGGAUCAGUGGGAUGGAUGAGAUCAUUGGGAUGGAUGGGAUCAUUGGCGGGAUCAGUGUGGUCACCGAGGUGGUGGUUAUGGGAUGGAUGGGAUCAUUGAAUGAUGGGUGGGAUCGCUGGGAUGGAUGGGAUCAUUGGGAUGGAUGGGAUCACCGAAUGGUUGGUGGGAUCGCUGGGAUCACUGGGAUGGGUGGGAACACUGAACGAUGGAUGGGGUCACUGGGAUGGAUGGCAUCAUUGGGAUGGAUGGGAUCACUGGGAUGGAUGGGAUCGUUGGUGGGAUGGGUGGGGUCACUGGUGGCAUCAGUGGGGUCACCGCGGUGGUGGUGCUGGGAUGGAUGGGAUCAUUGGAUGAUGGGUGGGGUCACUGGGAUGGAUGGCACCAUUGGAUGACGGAUGGGAUCAUUGGGAUGGAUGGGAUCACCGAAUGGUGGGUGGGAUCGCUGGGAUCACUGGGAUGGGUGGGGUCACUGAAUGAUGUGUGGGGUCACUGGGAUGGAUGGCAUCAUUGGAUGAUGGAUGGGAUCACUGGGAUGGAUGGGAUCACUGGGAUGGGUGGGAUCAGCGGUGGGAUGGGCGGGAUCACUGGUGGCAUCAGUGGGAUCACCGAGAUGGUGGUGCGGGGAUGGAUGGGAUCAUUGGAUGAUGGGUGGGGUCACUGGGAUGGAUGGCACCAUUGGAUGACGAAUGGGAUCAUUGGGAUGGAUGGGAUCACCGAAUGGUGGGUGGGAUCGCUGGGAUCACUGGGUGGGUGGGAUCACUGAAUGAUGGGUGGGGUCACUGGGAUGGAUGGCAUCAUUGGAUGAUGGAUGGGAUCACUGGGAUGGAUGCGAUCAUUGAAUGAUGGAUGGGAUCGGGGGAAGGAUGGGAUCACUGGGAUGGGUGGGGUCACUGAAUGAUGGGUGGGGUCAGUGGGAUGGAUGGCAUCAUUGGAUGAUGGAUGGGAUCACUGGGAUGGAUGGGAUCAUUGGGAUGGAUGGGAUCAUUGGUGGGAUGGGUGGGAUCACUGGUGGCAAUCAGUGGGGUCACCGAGGUGGUGGUUCUGGGGUGGAUGGGAUCAUUGAAUGAUGGGUGGGAUCACUGGGAUGGAUGGGGUCACCGAAUGGUGGGUGGGAUCACUGGGAUCUCUGGGAUGGGUGGGAUCACUGUAUGAUGCGUGGGGUCACUGGGAUGGAUGGCAUCAUUGGAUGAUGGGGGGGAAGACUGGGAUGAUUGGGAUCACUGGGAUGGAUGGGAUCAUUGAAUGAUGGAUGGGAUUACUGGGAUGGAGGGGAUCAUUGGUGGGAUGGGCGGGGUCACUGGUGGCAUCAGUGGGGUCACCGAGGUGGUGGUGCUGGGAUGGAUGGGAUCAUUGGAUGAUGGGUGGGGUCACUGGGAUGGAUGGCACCAUUGGAUGACGGAUGGGAUCACUGGGAUGGAUGGGAUCACCGAAUGGUGGGUGGGAUCGCUGGGAUCACUGGGAUGGGUGUGGUCACUGAAUGAUGGGUGGGGUCACUGGGAUG